GCCGAGCUUGGUAACGUGAGCUUGUAACCCAAGUGGGGGCAAUAAAGUGGUGGAAUGUUGGGCUGCCUCCAGAUGGUAGGGCUUUGUGGGCUAAUCUCUGGCCUGCCCUCUCCAAGCAUAGGGUUGGGCUACGGAGCCCAAGUGAAAACAUGGGCUGCAUAGCUCCUAAAGUGGGGCAGACUGCGUGAGGCUGGCUUCACAGAGCAACGAACAGCUCCCGCUCUGUGCAGUGGAAGGAUAACGGGUCAGUGUUCACAAAGUCCAACAAAAGCCUGAUGGGCUGCUCCAAUUAAACCGCCACUUUU
rnacentral:SRP_RNA from 1 species